rnacentral:lncRNA from 1 species
GAUUUAUUGAAUAUUGGCUUGAUGGCAUGGAAUUUCAUGCAUCUUCCCUAACUGGGUUCUGCUAUAUGUUCAUCCGAGGAGGAGCUCAAUAAUCUUAUAAAAAAUUUGCAAUAACGCAUUCAACAUGAAAGUAUUCCUCUAAAUGAAGAGAAGUAAAUCAUAAUUCUCCUUCUAUUUCGUGUUUUAAUUUUUUAGAAUUGUUUAAAAAAAUAAAAUAAAAUAAAAUUUGUUUUUCCCCUUUUUUCUUGGGAGUUUUAUUAUGGUUUAUUUGGAGGGUCGGUACCUUGAACUUUACCAGCUAUCCCCUGCCUCUUGAAAAAAUAAGAGGUUCUCUUAUGUUGAAAAAAAAAAAAAAAAAGGUCGGUACCUUGAAUUUUACUGGCACUCCCCCUGCCACUUAAACAAACUAGACGUUUUUUUAUGUUUAAAAAAAAAAAAAACUUUGAAGGGUCGGUGCCUUAAACUUUAUCGGCUCUUUCCCUUGCCUCUUAAAAAAUUUAGGGGUUUCUUAUUUAAAAAAAAAAAAAAAAACUUUUGGAGGGUCGGUAUCUUCAACUUUAUCGGCUCUCCCCUUGCCCCUUGAAAAAAAUCAGAGGUUUAUUUUUAUUUCUUUGGAAGGUCGGUACCUUGAACUUUACCGACUUUUUCCAUAUUUUUCUAUUGUUUAAGCAAUUUAAAAUGUUUUUGCUAAACCUAAAACAUUAGUUUUUCUCAUACACUUUCUUCCUUAUUUUUCACCUUUAAAAGAAAAAAAGUAAAAAAAAGGAAAAAAGUCCAUCAAAAUAUUUUCUUCCAGUAAACAAGAAGACGCCUAUCUUCAUCAACAAUGACAAAGACAUCAAGUGCUUAGAGUUCAUUCUACAUCAGUUUGAAAGAUUUGAUUGGAUUGAUUUCUUCAAACUCAAAAUUCUAUACCAUAUUGAGUUCGAGGGGAAAGUGUUAAAGAUAGAAAUAUUGUCAAGAAUAUUUUCCAUAAUAUUUUUUCUUUUAAUGUAGGAUUAUUUUCUUUAUUAGUUGAUUGUAUAAUUAAUACAGAAUCUUUUCUUUUAAUGUUAUUUGUAACCCUAUAAAUAGGGUCUUCUAAAUUGUAAUAAAUAAGAGCUUACAUUAUAAUAUCACUCUUAUUUUUCUUAACAUGGUAUCAGAGUGGGUUCGAUUCUAAACAAAUCAACUUUUGAAUUUCGCUUCCGGUGAGUGGCCUUGUGCCGCUUGUCCGGUCAUUUUUUU